UUGGGGUGAGGUAGUAGGUUGUAUAGUUUGGGGCUCGGCCCUGCUGUGGGUGACUAUACAACCUACUGUCUUUCCUGA
rnacentral:pre_miRNA from 2 species